GACGAACGCUGGCGGCGCGCUUAACACAUGCAAGUCGAGCGAGAACCAGGGCUUCGGCCCUGGGGACAGCGGCGAACGGGUGAGUAACACGUGGGUAAUCCACCCUCGGCACCGGAAUAGCCCGGGGAAACCCGGAUUAAUGCCGGAUGGCCCGCCGGCCCCGAGGGGCUGGCGGAAAAGGUAGCUUCGGCCUCCGGCCGGGGACGAGCCCGCGACGGAUUAGCUUGUUGGUGGGGUAACGGCCUACCAAGGCUGCGAUCCGUAGCUGGUCUGAGAGGACGAUCAGCCACACUGGGACUGAGACACGGCCCAGACUCCUACGGGAGGCAGCAGUAGGGAAUCUUGCGCAAUGGGCAAAAGCCUGACGCAGCGACGCCGCGUGGGGGAAGAAGGCCUUCGGGUUGUAAACCUCUUUCAGGAGGGACGAAGCCACUCGGGUUAAUAGCCCAGAGGGUGACGGUACCUCCAGAAGAAGCCCCGGCUAACUACGUGCCAGCCGCCGCAGUAACAC
rnacentral:rRNA from 1 species